ensembl:misc_RNA
UGGCCCAUCGGGGCAAUGGAUACCUGCCUCUUUUUU